GGUGGGUACGGGCGGGCUUGAGUGCGGUAGGGGUGACUGGAAUUCCUGGUGUAGCGGUGGAAUGCGCAGAUAUCAGGAGGAACACGGAUGGCGAAGGCAGGUCACUGGGCCGUUACUGACACUGAGGAGCGAAAGCGUGGGGAGCGAACAGGAUUAGAUACCCUGGUAGUCCACGCUGUAAACGUUGGGAACUAGGUGUGGGGAGGGGAUCCUGUGUUUCUGCGCCGUAGCUAACGCAUUAAGUUCC
rnacentral:rRNA from 1 species